UACAGAGGUCCCAAGCGUUGUUCGGAUUCAUUGGGCGUAAAGGGUGCGUAGGUGGCGCUGUAAGUCGGGUGUGAAAUUUCGGAGCUUAACUCCGAAACUGCAUUCGAUACUGCGGUGCUUGAGGACUGGAGAGGAGACUGGAAUUCAUGGUGUAGCAGUGAAAUGCGUAGAGAUCAUGAGGAAGACCAGUGGCGAAGGCGGGUCUCUGGACAGUUCCUGACGCUGAGGCGCGAAGGCGUGGGGAGCGAACGGG
rnacentral:rRNA from 1 species